UGAUUACGAAUUGGUUUCGAAUGGAU
rnacentral:sRNA from 1 species